rnacentral:tRNA from 1 species
GUCUUGGUGGUGUAGUUGGUUAUCACGUUAGUCUCACACACUAAAGGUCCCCAGUUCGAACCUGGGCUCAGACA